CCUACGGGAGGCUGCAGUGGGGAAUAUUGGGCAAUGGGCGCAAGCCUGACCCAGCAACGCCGCGUGAAGGAAGAAGGCUUUCGGGUUGUAAACUUCUUUUCUCAGGGACGAAGCAAGUGACGGUACCUGAGGAAUAAGCCACGUCUAACUACGUGCCAGCAGCCGCGGUAAUACGUAGGUGGCAAGCGUUAUCCGGAUUUACUGGGUGUAAAGGGAGUGUAGGCGGGAAAGCAAGUCAGAUGUGAAAACCAUGGGCUCAACCUGUGGCCUGCAUUUGAAACUGUUUUUCUUGAGUACUGGAGAGGCAGACGGAAUUCCUAGUGUAGCGGUGAAAUGCGUAGAUAUUAGGAGGAACACCAGUGGCGAAGGCGGUCUGCUGGACAGCAACUGACGCUGAGGCGCGAAAGCGUGGGGAGCAAACAGGAUUAGAUACCCCAGUAGUC
rnacentral:rRNA from 1 species